rnacentral:rRNA from 1 species
UACGAAGGGUGCAAGCGUUACUCGGAAUUACUGGGCGUAAAGGGCGCGUAGGCGGCAUGACAAGUCACUUGUGAAAUCUCCGGGCUUAACUCGGAACGGCCAAGUGAAACUGUCAAGCUAGAGUGCGGAAGGGGCAAUCGGAAUUCUUGGUGUAGCGGUGAAAUGCGUAGAUAUCAAGAGGAACACCUGAGGUGAAGACGGGUUGCUGGGCCGACACUGACGCUGAUGCGCGAAAGCCAGGGGAGCAAACGGG